GAUGAACGCUGGCGGCGUGCUUAACACAUGCAAGUCGAACGGAGUUCCUUGGAUAGAGGUUCGGCCAAUUGAAUUGGAACUUAGUGGCGGACGGGUGAGUAACGCGUGAGGAACCUGCCUUGGAGUGGGGAAUAACACAGAGAAAUUUGUGCUAAUACCGCAUAAUGCAGUUGAGUCGCAUGGCUCUGACUGCCAAAGAUUUAUCGCCCUAAGAUGGCCUCGCGUCUGAUUAGCUAGUUGGUAGGGUAACGGCCUACCAAGGCGACGAUCAGUAGCCGGACUGAGAGGUUGGCCGGCCACAUUGGGACUGAGACACGGCCCAGACUCCUACGGGAGGCAGCAGUGGGGAAUAUUGGGCAAUGGGCGCAAGCCUGACCCAGCAACGCCGCGUGAAGGAAGAAGGCUUUCGGGUUGUAAACUUCUUUUGUCAGGGACGAACAAAUGACGGUACCUGACGAAUAAGCCACGGCUAACUACGUG
rnacentral:rRNA from 1 species